UAAUAUAAAUUUGUGAAAACAAUAUACGUUAUUGUCUGCUUCUAAUCUAAAAUUAGUAAUCUUUCUCAUCCACCUGAGUUACUGGUGUUCACCAUGGACAAACAUGUGAGUUGGUCUUAUUUAGAACUGCAAAGAUUAUUAUUCCAUCCUACUAACUUCAUCUAUUGUUGUCUGCUCUUAUCUCACUCCACCACCUGAGCUGAAGUCUUUUCACAGAGACUCAAAGGUCCUGAAGCAAUCCAGAGCUUCCUUUACGGCAAAGAAGAAAUGUUUAUUCCCGACCAAGUCAGAUGGAUGACGGACCACAAGAUGGACAGACGUGGACGCCUGUGUUUUAAGGCAGGACUCUUCCUGGGUCUUUGGACUUCCUGCAGCCACUGAGAGUGGACGUCAACCAAACCACACAAAGCCAGCAUCACACAACCAAUCAGAUGUGAGGAAGCUCCAGCACCACAGCAGUCCACCCAGCACACUGAACCACCUUCAGAUCCAGACUUUCUACACUUUACUGCUUUGAUAUUGAGUUCAGUUGAUUAAAUAAAAAAUACU